rnacentral:sRNA from 1 species
CGCAUCUACAAUUUGAAGUAUGAUGGGUAUGUACCAGGAACCACCUCAUUGGCCUGUGCAAUCUCCCUUGCGCAGGCCUUCUU